AUUGAACGCUGGCGGCCGGCUUAACACAUGCAAGUCGAGCGGAGAUGAGGUGCUUGCACCUUAUCUUAGCGGCGGACGGGUGAGUAAUGCUUCGGAAUCUGCCAUUUAGUGCGGGACAGCAUUCCGGAAGGAAUGCUAAUACCCCAUACGUCCUACGGGAGAAAGCAGGGGAUCUUCGGACCUUGCGCUAAAUGAUGAGCCUAAGUCGGAUUAGCUGGUUGGUGGGGUAAGGGCCUACCAAGGCGACGAGCUGUAGCGGGUCUGAGAGGAUGAUCCGCCACACUGGGACUGAGACACGGCCCAGACUACUACGGGAGGCAGCAGUGGGGAAUAUUAGACAAUGGGCGGAAGCCGGAUCCAGCCAUGCCGCGUGGGGGAAGAAGGCCUUUUGGUUGGAAAGCACUUUAAGCGAGGAGGAGGCUACUGAGACUAAUACUCUUGGAUAGUGGACGUUACUCGCAGAAUAAGCACCGGCUAACUCUGUGCCAGCCGCCGCGGUAACAC
rnacentral:rRNA from 1 species